UACGUAGGGGGCUAGCGUUGUCCGGAAUCAUUGGGCGUAAAGCGCGUGUAGGCGGCCCGGUAAGUCCGCUGUGAAAGUCGGGGGCUCAACCCUCGGAUGCCGGUGGAUACUGUCGGGCUAGAGUACGGAAGAGGCGAGUGGAAUUCCUGGUGUAGCGGUGAAAUGCGCAGAUAUCAGGAGGAACACCGGUGGCGAAGGCGGGUCUCUGGGCCUUACCUGACGCUCAGGCGCGAAAGCUAGGGGAGCGAACUGG
rnacentral:rRNA from 1 species